CCGAGACAGCUUGCAUACGUUGCUGUGUACUGAUGUCAUUGUAAUUACAAACGAUAAAUUAUUACCCGUUCAUAGUGCGCGAAAGUGCGACCAAACUGAAACCGAAUCUGGCCUGGGGGUUAAUCGAUGCCAUCUAGCCGUGGCGCAGCGUGUGCCUCUGGCGGACUUUUUACCAUCGUUACCUCGUUGAUGCACCGUGUGACGAUUUGAUUAUGAAAAAACAAGCUUGUAACCAGAGAGAAAAAAUGAAAACAGUAGUACGCAAACAGACGGUACGAGAUAAUGAGAUGUGAACCCAAAAGACAAUGGGAUAUCAAUGUUUGUAUUUUAAUGAGGACGUGGCCAAGCAAACACAUUAUUCAGGAAGCCAGGAAGCGCAGAAUCCAUUUUGCGCCAUGUUGCUAGCGUACAUCAAAGAGCUUCCUAGUAGCAUAACAAGCACAGCACGAUGGAAAUCCCGGGUGAAGGAUCCAGAUGGCUUAGCGGUCCAAACCGGUGAUGCUGGAUACAAGUUUUGCAACAAUAGUUUAUAUUGCUCAGUGGUUUAUGCAUAACUGUUUGGUUAAAUAGGCAAACAAUGAGACUCGUGAAACGUUCACAUCGUUCGGCAGGAACAGUUAUGGAAUACCUCUGAUGAACAUCAGUCGACGUGGUUGCAGCGUUAAAAUUGGAUAA